GACAGAGGGUGCAAACGUUGUUCGGAAUUACUGGGCGUAAAGCGCGUGUAGGCGGCUCGGCAAGUCGGGUGUGAAAGCCCUGGGCUUAACCUAGGAAGUGCACUCGAAACUGCCAAGCUUGAGUUCUGGAGAGGAAGGCGGAAUUCUCGGUGUAGAGGUGAAAUUCGUAGAUAUCGAGAGGAACACCGGUGGCGAAGGCGGCCUUCUGGACAGAAACUGACGCUGAGACGCGAAAGCGUGGGGAGCAAACAGG
rnacentral:rRNA from 1 species